rnacentral:rRNA from 1 species
UAAGGAAUAUUGGACAAUGGCGGAGACGCUGAUCCAGCUAUCCCGCGUGCAGGAUGACGGCCCUACGGGCUGUAAACUGCUUUAGACUGGGGCGAAAAAGUGGGAUUUAUCCUACAUCGACGGUACCAGUAAAAUAAGCACCGGCUAACUCCGUGCCAGCAGCCGCGGUAAUACGGAGGGUGCAAGCGUUAUCCGGAAUCACUGGGUAUAAAGGGUGCGUAGGCGGCUUGUUAAGUCAGGAGUGAAAGGCCAUGGCUCAACUAUGGGAUUGCUUUUGAUACUGACGAGCUUGGAUUAGGACGAGGUUGGCGGAAUGUGGCAAGUAGCGGUGAAAUGCAUAGAUAUGCCAUAGAAUACCGAUUGCGAAGGCAGCUGACUAGACCUAUAUUGACGCUGAGGCACGAAAGCGUGGGGAGCGAACAGG